rnacentral:tRNA from 1 species
GGUUUCGUAGUUCAACGGAUAGAAUAGAAGUUUCCUAAACUUUUGAUCCCAGUUCGAUUCUGGGCGAAAUCA